UACGUAGGGGGCUAGCGUUGUCCGGAAUCAUUGGGCGUAAAGCGCGUGUAGGCGGCCCGAUAAGUCCGCUGUGAAAGUCCAGGGCUCAACCCUGGGAUGCCGGUGGAUACUGUCGGGCUCGAGUCCGGAAGAGGCGAGUGGAAUUCCCAGUGUAGCGGUGAAAUGCGUAGAUAUUGGGAGGAACACCAGUGGCGAAGGCGGCUCACUGGACCGGUACUGACGCUGAUGCGCGAAAGCGUGGGGAGCAAACGGG
rnacentral:rRNA from 1 species